GACGAACGCUGGCGGCGUGCUUAACACAUGCAAGUCGAGCGGAAAGGCUCAUUCGGGGGUACUCGAUCGGCGAACGGGCGAGUAACACGUCAGUAAUCUGCCCUGGACCCUGGGAUAGCCACCGGAAACGGUGAUUAAUACCGGAUAUGACACUCCUCCGCAUGGCGGGGUGGGGAAAGUUUUUUCGGUCCAGGAUGUGCCCGCGGCUUAUCAGGUUGUUGGUGAGGUAAUGGCUCACCAAGGGUUUGACGGGUGGCCGGCCUGAGAGGGUGACCGGUCACACUGGGACUGAGACACGGCCCAGACUCCUACGGGAGGCAGCAGUGGGGAAUAUUGGACAAUGGGCGGAAGCCUGAUCCAGCAACGCCGCGUGAGGGAUGACGGCCUUCGGGUUGUAAACCUCUUUCAGUACCGACGAAGCGAAAGUGACGGUAGGUACAGAAGAAGGACCGGCCAACUACGUGCCAGCCGCCGCCUAAAAC
rnacentral:rRNA from 1 species